AAUAUUAUUAUUAUUAAUCAGCAGGAAAAGUGUGGAUCUUCGGCGAUACUUGGAGGUUCUCAAGCCAUUCCUAUAUGAUCCCACUAUCAGGCUGACAGGCACUAUGCUACCGAAAUUAUACUUCGACAAGCCUUACAAGGUCAGAAUAUGAAGCGAUAAUAACCAGAAAAGUCUGGCAAUGGCCACCAACCCAGCCGUCUUCGUUGAGAGACAAAUGAUGCCAGUAUAAAUAUUACGCCGGAUAGUCAGCAGCUUUAAAGGCCUUAGACCAGUGUGCGUGGAAUUGAUGUCACGUGUGCGAACAAGUCGUGCAGUGGAAUGAAGCUUUCGCUGCCUUCUCAAGCAGAGCGUCUAUGUAUACGCGAAUACGAUGCGCAGUCGCCCGCCGGGUAAACGCUGCCCAGCUGUACCGUAGACUCAUUUAGAACUGCAUCAAGGCUUAUUGAAAAACUCUUUUCAACCACCUAGCAGCCCACAAUAGAGUUAUGCUGUGGUCGGCGUUGGGACAUGAAGGGUUUGAAGACAACGAAAGAGCUGACUGUGUCACAAAACGUCGAGCCCAAUCAAAGGAAUUCAUAACUCCUUCCAUAAGGAAGUCCGAAAGGCUUCUGCAACUUAGCCGGGAAGGUCUUAUAACUCUUACAGGCUAGACACCGAAAGUUAGGGUAAAAUUGGAAUAAUAUGGAGCUUUCUGUAGACACCGACUUUAGAUUUUGUGAAUUGGCGAACAAAACUCCAGAGCAUAUUCUAUGUGACUGCCGACGCAUCAUGAAUCGCAGUCUGAUACACCUUGGAGAAUAUCUUCUCCUGGAGAUUAUCUUCUCCAUACCUUGAUCAUACGGAGUUAAACUUCUGCGCUGGUGAAUUUCGCUUAGCGGUAACUGCAAGUGAUAGAUUACCUACGAGUUUCACUCCUGGAGUGAGAGAUAUACCAAAAUCUCCGUCCACAUGUUUUGGAGUACCUCCUCCCUGGUGAAUUAACCAGGUCUAAGGCUCACUAAUAAAACCUAAACAGUACGUUGGCGAUAUGGCAUCGAAGACAAAGAAGUACAUACUCGUACGUUCAUUGAAAAUCAAUUGGAAGACAUGCGUUAAAAAUUACUUUUGAACAGUUGCAUACGUAACCCACUCAUUGAUUAUUCUGGCGUUACAUCUUCCGUUCCAAUGCUUCUAUUCUCUUUCCGCUCAAUAGCUCCCGUUCGAAAGGUCUUUAACCUCACAUCAAAGCUCGUCGAAAUGCAAUCGCACCAGAUUUUUACACUCUUUCGCAAGAACAAUAAAAACACCAGAGUUGAGCAAAAUUUUUGUUUUAUUUUCUACAAAUCCACACACAUCGUCCAACGCUAACUGACCAGCACUUUUGGGGUUUCAAUUGAGCUAUGCACAAGUCAGCUUUUAUUAGAUUUGUCGCAGUGCUAGUUGCAGUCUUUCGGAAAUACCCCAACGAGCAACAUGCGUGUACCGAUAGACACGCGUAAAAAGCAAAAUAAAAAACAUUAAUUUAAUAAUAAAAAAAAACAAAACACUCGCAAGGACCCGCAUUUCUUUUCGAAAUUUCAAUAAACUCACCAUCAUUUUGUUUUUGUGUUUAAAUACUUACUUAAACUACAGCGCGUUGAAAUCAAGGAAAUGCUAUCAAAUCUCAAACGGCCAUUAGCAAGUGUGUCCUUCGUAUUCCCUCCACUGCUGUGGGUGAUAACAUGUUUGUUGGCGUCAGUGAGCGGUUAUCCUUCGAACACUUUUCGCGAUCUCGAUAUCUGCAAUCAUUGGAAUGGACGUCGACAUUUUCUGGAAUUGGGCGAACGUGGCGAUUUGCAUGCGCGUAAUGUCACCACAUCCGCUUUUCGAAGCACCCUAUUCUCGCCCACAAAUCCUAGCCAAAUGAAGAAUCGCAGCAGCACAGAUAUUUGGUAUCAGUGCAAUUUGGAGCUGGUGACCUGCGCUGAGUGCGUCAUUCGCAUAACAUUCACGCACAUCAACUUCUCUAAGACGUGCGAACGCAUUGCCAAUUCGGGUAUUGGAAAAUCCUCACUUUGUCCUUGCGAACAUAUUCAAUUCUCAGAACCACCGUAUGACACAACGAUUUCGGGCCAGGAGUUCUGUGGCGAUGGCAAAGUGUUUCGCAGUAAAACGCGUACGUUGUUGCUGAAAUUCUUCUAUCGCGCAACCAAUAGUCAUGUCUUUUCGCUGCAGUACUUCUCGGAAAGGAAUGUUAAAAUUGUUAGCGGCUCACCACGGCAGGCCAUAAUCAGUAAUUAUUCCAAAAAUGAGCCGCAUGUCAUCUCAACUCCCUACUUUCCUAUGCCAUAUCCUCGUGAUUACGGCAUUGAACAUAUACUGACAUGUGAAUCGGAAAACUGUCAAGUGCGACUGGAUUUUACCGACUUUCAGUUAGGCCUAACCUCAACAUUGGAAAUAUUCGAUUCGAACGGUCAAAUGUUGGACUCGUACACCGGUGAACAUUUUCGUCCGCCCAUCACAAUUAGCAAUGGUAAAUCACUAUUGUUGCAAUUCCGUGGUAACGGUAAUACGGGUGUCGGAUUUCGUGCCGAGAUAUCUUUCGUUUCAUCCAAGCAAUUGAAGGAAGAUCGUUUAGUGCCAUAUACAGAUUGUGGCGGCAUGGUUUCCGGACCAGGUGGCGCAAUCACGAUGAUGAAUAUGAUCGAAAAUAACACCGAUGUAAGAUUUUACGAUUGCAUAUGGAUAAUUAAGCCUGGCAACAAUUAUAUGAUGAUGAAGACACACAUUUCGCUGCGCGUUGAAGAAUUUCAUGGCAUGGCUUCACGUUCGGAUCUAACCAUACGUCAGGGUACAACAUCGGAUGCUGCUGAAAUUGAGAGUGUUGUUUGGCCCAAUAAUGGCAUGAGUAAAGAGAGUCACAUUGUGCCGGUGCUAACAGGCUACUAUAUACGCCUGCGUGGUGUCUUCGGCAUGUCAUCGAAACUGGCCAUUUCUUACAGUGUUUUCAACUAUUUAAAUUGUUAUAUUGGUUCGGAAUUCCUUUGCGGUAAUAAUCAUUGCAUCUCAAUAAGGCUACACUGUGAUGGCUUUGAUCAUUGUGGUGACGGUUCUGAUGAACCAGAAUCAUGCGAAGAGGAUUGGGCGCAUUUACAAAACGAUCGACGCUGGUACUCACACAAGCCGAAUUAUUAUUUUCCCAAAAUAGAGCAGUAUCCUGACUUGAAAACAGCUACUGGUAUUUUCAUAAUAAGUACGCUGGGUAUUUUUGCCGUACUAACGGGUUGGAUGGUCAUAUUGUACCGCAUGGGUGUGAGGGCACGCCAUCAACGCGAACUGCAAAGUCAUCUGCAAACUAUUAGUGAGCUACUAGACCGCCAAGAGGAAAUGACGCCCGACGAACCGCCCAGCUAUGAAGCACCACCCGACUAUGAGGAAGUAAUCAAGGUUGGCAUGGAACAGGAGAUACGUGAUGCACGCCAACGUCAACGGCGUCGCCAUCAUCACCAUCCCGAGCACGGUUGUGGGCACGCCGCCUGCAUUCUACCGCACACACAUACCUGCGAUCGUCCGACCACAUCGGCGGCUGCCGCAGCCAUUGCGCUUAACGGCACUGUGGCUAUUACAAAUGGUGUCGGCGGUGCGCAAUUGCCCGAUGCAGAAAUACGCAAUGAACUGGCUAAUCGUGUACUAAUGGCUACCGCAGCUUGUGAAUCACGUUUACAGGCGCUGCAGGCGCGUCAGAAUCGGGCACAGUUGCGCAGGGAUGCUGCUGCUGUCAAUCCAUGGGGAUUCAGUCGGGCCCGACAUCGCUUCCCAUUGGGUGUGAAUUAUCCCCAACCGUUGGCGAACAGCCGGAGGCCGGGACGAGCUCUACCGGAACGCCCAGUCAACUUGAGGAACGAAGUGCCGAAUUUCGAGAUGACUCACUCAAUAUAUCGCUCACUCUAGGCAUACCACAAACAACAAUGGCUCUUAGCGAAAAUAAUUCAAAUGUUUCAUCGCGCCCCAGGAGCACAACUAAUUACAGCGAACAAACCCAUUUGAAACGCUCCUGGAUUGUUGUUAGUAACGGUACACACAACUACAAAGUUCAACGUUUGCGACACACAUUCUCCGUGCCAGAGUCAUUCCCAAUUGAUGCCUAUUACCCAGAUGUGCUAAGCUAUGGUACCAACCUACCACACGAACGCCAACUUUUCCUCAGCAACGCCAGCAAUUUCGGUUCAGAAUUAUCACGCGAUCCUUCAGCGCACUGCAUCAAUGCACGUCGACUC
rnacentral:misc_RNA from 1 species